CUCAUGGGCACCGUGGCCAAACAGCUGGUGCCCAGCUGCGUGACUGUGCAGCGCUGUGGUGGCUGCUGCCCUGACGAUGGCCUGGAGUGUGUGCCCACUGGGCAGCACCAAGUCCGGAUGCAGAUCCUCAUGAUCCGGUACCCGAGCAGUCAGCUGGGGGAGAUGUCCCUGGAAGAACACAGCCAGUGUGAAUGCAGACCUAAAAAAAAGGACAGUGCUGUGAAGCCAGACAGGGCUGCCACUCCCCACCACCGUCCCCAGCCCCGUUCUGUUCCGGGCUGGGACUCUGCCCCCGGAGCACCCUCCCCAGCUGACAUCACCCAUCCCACUCCAGCCCCAGGCCCCUCUGCCCACGCUGCACCCAGCACCACCAGCGCCCUGACCCCCGGACCUGCCGCUGCCGCUGCCGACGCCGCAGCUUCCUCCGUUGCCAAGGGCGGGGCUUAGAGCUCAACCCAGACACCUGCAGGUGCCGGAAGCUGCGAAGGUGACACAUGGCUUUUCAGACUCAGCAGGGUGACUUGCCUCAGAGGCUAUAUCCCAGUGGGGGAACAAAGAGGAGCCUGGUAAAAAACAGCCAAGCCCCCAAGACCUCAGCCCAGGCAGAAGCUGCUCUAGGACCUGGGCCUCUCAGAGGGCUCUUCUGCCAUCCCUUGUCUCCCUGAGGCCAUCAUCAAACAGGACAGAGUUGGAAGAGGAGACUGGGAGGCAGCAAGAGGGGUCACAUACCAGCUCAGGGGAGAAUGGAGUACUGUCUCAGUUUCUAACCACUCUGUGCAAGUAAGCAUCUUACAACUGGCUCUUCCUCCCCUCACUAAGAAGACCCAAACCUCUGCAUAAUGGGAUUUGGGCUUUGGUACAAGAACUGUGACCCCCAACCCUGAUAAAAGAGAUGGAAGGAGC
rnacentral:lncRNA from 1 species